UACGGUAGGGUGCAAGCGUUGUCCGGAAUUAUUGGGCGUAAAGAGCUCGUAGGCGGUUUGUCGCGUCGGCUGUGAAAACUGGAGGCUUAACCUUCAGCGUGCAGUCGAUACGGGCAGACUUGAGUUCGGUAGGGGAGACGUGGAAUUCCUGGUGUAGCGGUGAAAUGCGUAGAUAUCAGGAGGAACACCGGCGGUGUAGACGGCUUGCUAGACCACCCCUGACGCUGAGGCACGAAAGCGGUGGGUAGCAAACAGG
rnacentral:rRNA from 1 species